AAGGAGAAGUCGUAACAAGGUUUCCGUAGGUGAACCUGCGGAAGGAUCAUUGUCGAACCUGCAUUAUGCAAAAACGGUGCAUUGCAUCGUGUCGGCGAGUGUAUUCGAUAAGUCAUAACGACUCUCGGCAACGGAUAUCUCGGCUCUCGCAUCGAUGAAGAACGUAGCAAAAUGCGAUACGUGGUGUGAAUUGCAGGAUCCCGUGAACCAUCGAGUUUUUGAACGCAAGUUGCGCCCGAAGCCUUUAGGCCGAGGGCACGUCUGCCUGGGCGUCACGCACCGUUGCCCCCCAAACCCCCUCAGUCCUCCACGGAGGAUUGGCGAGGCGCGUGGGGGGCGUAAAGUGGCUUCCCGUCGGCUUUGUCCCGCGGUUGGCCUAAAAAUGAAUCCCUAGCCGCGGUGCGCGCGGCAUUCGGUGGUCAUCGAUCCCUUUCGUUACCCCGCCGCGCGCUCACGUGCCGCGAAGGAUGUCACACUAGUAAACCCGACGCCUCGCUUUGUGAAGAGCGGAGCUUACAACGCGACCCCAGGUCAGGCGGGGCUACCCGCUGAA
rnacentral:rRNA from 1 species